UCAGUUACUGCAGAGGAGCCCGCAGGGAUUGUGAUCGAGAACACGUUAAAUAUACGGAUCACUCUGGGGAGCACUGCCAUUCCAAGAGCGCUGUCUUCUGAUCCAGGAACGUGCGUGGUGUGUGUAUCCAGGUGCCCUCACCUCCAGUGGCAUCCAUCCAGACAACAGCACUGACACUGACCGUGCUCAGAACUGCCUCAGCCCUGAAGACACAACUGAGAAAUAGAAGGGGGCCGUGCCCUGUUACAGCAGGUGCUCUCACUUUGUGGGUCCUUAUGUAGCUGCGCGGUGUUAAUCAGGAUCGCCCGUUCUACAUUGUGUGGCGCUGCUGCGGUGACUCCUAGUUACUUGUUUCUCUCGCUUUAUUCACUCAGGGGUAUAUCAUAGACGUCCUCCCACUGCAGACUCACCCGGUCCUUUCAGAUAGAGUGGAGGGGUCUCCAGAUGUGCAGGUGUGGUCUCUUGUGCAAGGAUACCUUUGGUGGGAGAGUGCUGUGGACAAGGCCCUGGACCAUAGCGAAACGCCGGCUCCCUCAGCGCCCGCAGCUCGCCGAGAUUUACCGCAUCAUUGUGUUGAUGGUGGACACAGGUUUUCUCCAUUUUCCACUGUC